rnacentral:rRNA from 1 species
AAGUCGUAACAAGGUUUCCGUAAGUGAACCUGCGGAAGGAUCAUUCAUAAUAAGUGUUUUAUGGCACUUUUUAAAUCCAUAUCCACCUUGUGUGCAAUGUCAGUCGAUUUUCUUUAUGGAGAUCGGCCAAACAUCAACCUAAUUUUUUAACUCUUUGUCUGAAAAAUAUUAUGAAUAAAAUAAUUCAAAAUACAACUUUCAACAACGGAUCUCUUGGCUCUCGCAUCGAUGAAGAACGCAGCGAAAUGCGAUACGUAAUGUGAAUUGCAGAAUUCAGUGAAUCAUCGAAUCUUUGAACGCAUAUUGCGCUCUUUGGUAUUCCGAAAAACAUGCUUGUUUGAGUAUCAGUAAACACCUCAAAACUUUUUUUUAUUUUUAAGAAAAAGUUUUGGACUUGAGCAAUCCCAACACCAAUCUUUUUUAGAUCGGCGGCGGGUUGCUUGAAAUGCAGGUGCAGCUGGACAUUCUCCUGAGCUAAAAGCAUAUUUAUUUAGUCCCGUCAAACGGAUUAUUACUUUUGCUGCAGCUAUAUAAAGGGAGUUUGACCGUAUUGGCUGACUGAUGCAGGAUUUCACAAGGGUCGGCAACGAUUCUUGUAAAACUCGAUCUCAAAUCAAGUAAGACUACCCGCUGAACUUAA